CUUCUUUGCUGGCGACCGGCGCACGGGCGAGUAACACGUAUCCAACCUGCCCUUUACUCGGGGAUAGCCUUUCGAAAGAAAGAUUAAUACCCGAUAGCAUAAUGAUUCCGCAUGGUUUCAUUAUUAAAGGAUUCCGGUAAAGGAUGGGGAUGCGUUCCAUUAGGUUGUUGGUGAGGUAACGGCCCACCAAGCCUUCGAUGGAUAGGGGUUCUGAGAGGAAGGUCCCCCACAUUGGAACUGAGACACGGUCCAA
rnacentral:rRNA from 1 species